UGCGUAGGCGGUCUUUUAAGUCAGGAGUGAAAGGCUACGGCUCAACCGUAGACAUGCACCCUGAACUGGGUCACUUGAGUAUUGGAGAGGCAGGCAGAAUUCCUGGUGUAGCGGUGAAAUGCGUAGAUAUCAGGAGGAAUACCGGAGGCGAAGGCGGCCUGCUGGACAAAUACUGACGCUGAGGCGCGAAAGCGUGGGAGCAAACA
rnacentral:rRNA from 1 species